GACUGUGUGUGUGUGUAUCUGACUAUGUGUGUGUAUCUGACUGUGUGUGUGUAUCUGACUGUGUGUGUGUAUCUGACUAUGUGUGUGUAUCUGACUGUGUGUGUGUAUCUGACUAUGUGUGUGUAUCUGACUGUGUGUGUGUAUCUGACUGUGUGUGUGUGUGUAUCUGACUGUGUGUGUGUAUCUGACUUUAUGCGUGUGUAUCUGUAUGUG